AAGAUACUCCCUCCGUCCGGAAAUACUUGUCAUCAAAAUGGAUGAAAAUGGAUGUAUCUACAACUAAAAUACAUCUAGAUACAUCCAUUUCAAUGACAAGUAUUUCCGGACGGAGGGAGUAUAUA
rnacentral:pre_miRNA from 1 species